rnacentral:misc_RNA from 1 species
GUGAAUCAUCAAAUUUUUGAACGCAAAUUGCGCUUCCUGGUAUCCCGGGGAGUAUGCCUGUUUGAGGGUCAGUAUUAACAAAAAAUCGGGUUGGUUGCAAGUUGUGGCGCUUCCGGGGGUUGGCCUUAUCUUAACUUUUUUGGUUAAGGGGCUUAAAAUUGACGUUUUUUGCGCAUUUUUAGACGUCCAUAAAUUGUUUUUUA